rnacentral:rRNA from 1 species
UACGUAGGUGGCAAGCGUUGUUCGGAAUUAUUGGGCGUAAAGGGCGCGUAGGCGGCUUGUUAAGUCGGCUGUGAAAGCCCGGGGCUCAACCCCGGAGGGUCAGCCGAUACUGCGGGGCUAGAGUGCAGAAGGGGCAACUGGAAUUCUCGGUGUAGCGGUGAAAUGCGUAGAUAUCGAGAGGAACACCUGCGGCGAAGGCGGGUUGCUGGGCUGACACUGACGCUGAGGCGCGAAAGCUAGGGGAGCGAACGGG